UACAGAGGGGGCGAGCGUUGUUCGGAAUUACUGGGCGUAAAGCGCACGUAGGCGGCUUUGUAAGUUAGAGGUGAAAGCCCGGGGCUCAACUCCGGAAUUGCCUUUAAGACUGCAUCGCUAGAAUUGUGGAGAGGUAAGUGGAAUUCCGAGUGUAGAGGUGAAAUUCGUAGAUAUUCGGAAGAACACCAGUGGCGAAGGCGACUUACUGGACACAUAUUGACGGCUGAGGUGGCGAAAGCGUGGGGAGCAAACAGG
rnacentral:rRNA from 1 species